rnacentral:rRNA from 1 species
GAUGAACGCUGGCGGCGUGCCUAAUACAUGCAAGUCGAGCGAACAGACGAGGAGCUUGCUCCUCUGACGUUAGCGGCGGACGGGUGAGUAACACGUGGAUAACCUACCUAUAAGACUGGGAUAACUUCGGGAAACCGGAGCUAAUACCGGAUAAUAUAUUGAACCGCAUGGUUCAAUAGUGAAAGACGGUUUUGCUGUCACUUAUAGAUGGAUCCGCGCCGCAUUAGCUAGUUGGUAAGGUAACGGCUUACCAAGGCAACGAUGCGUAGCCGACCUGAGAGGGUGAUCGGCCACCCUUGAACUGAGACACGGUCCAGAAUCCUAAGGGAGGCAGGAGUAGGGAAUCUUCCGCAAUGGGCGAAAGCCUGACGGAGGAACGCCGCGUGAGUGAUGAAGGUCUUCGGAUCGUAAAACUCUGUUAUUAGGGAAGAACAAAUGUGGAAGUAACUAUGCACGGCUUGACGGUACCUAAUCAGAAAGCCACGGCUAACUACGUG